rnacentral:tRNA from 1 species
GGCUUUGUAGCUCAGGUGGUAGAGCGCUUGCCGCGUAGAGGCAUAUUGUUUCUGUCGCUGGUACGAAUCCAGACGAAGCCC